rnacentral:rRNA from 1 species
GACGAACGCUGGCGGCGCGCUUAACACAUGCAAGUCGAACGGAAAGGCCUGCUUUCCCUUGUGGAUUGCGGGUACUCGAGUGGCGAACGGGUGAGUAACACGUGAGUGAUCUGCCCCCAACUUGGGUAUAAGCCUGGGAAACUGGGUCUAAUUCCCGAUAGGACUGCAGGGUGGUGCCUGUGGUGGAAAACGAUUUUCUAGUGGUUGGGGAUGAGCUCGCGGCCUAUCAGCUUGUUGGUGGGGUAAUGGCCUACCAAGGCGGCGACGGGUAGCCGGCCUGAGAGGGUGGACGGCCACAUUGAGACUGAGAUACGGCCCAGACGCCUACGGGAGGCAGCAGUGGGGAAUAUUGCACAAUGGGCGGAAGCCUGAUGCAGCGACGCCGCGUGGGGGAUGACGGCCUUCGGGUUGUAAACUCCUUUCGACCGCGAGGAAGCCACCUGGUUGGAAGGGUGGUGACGGUAGUGGUAGAAGAAGCACCGGCUAACUACGUG